UACAGAGGGUGCAAACGUUGCUCGGAAUGAUUGGGCGUAAAGCGCGUGUAGGCGGCCGAUUAUGCCGGUUGUGAAAGCCCGUGGCUCAACCACGGAAGUGCAGUCGGAACUGAUCGGCUAGAGUACCGAAGAGGGUGGCGGAAUGCCCAGUGUAGAGGUGAAAUGCGCAGAUAUCAGGAAGAACACCAAUGGCGAAAGCAGCUCUCUGGGACGGUACUGACGCUGAGACGCUAAAGCGUGGGGAGCGAACAGG
rnacentral:rRNA from 1 species